rnacentral:rRNA from 1 species
GUGGGGAAUCUUGCGCAAUGGGCGAAAGCCUGACGCAGCCAUGCCGCGUGAAUGAUGAAGGUCUUAGGAUUGUAAAAUUCUUUCACCGGGGACGAUAAUGACGGUACCCGGAGAAGAAGCUCCGGCUAACUUCGUGCCAGCAGCCGCGGUAAUACGAAGGGGGCUAGCGUUGCUCGGAAUUACUGGGCGUAAAGGGCGCGUAGGCGGACAGCUUAGUCAGAGGUGAAAGCCCAGGGCUCAACCUUGGAAUUGCCUUUGAUACUGACUGUCUUGAGUUUGGGAGAGGUGAGUGGAACUCCGAGUGUAGAGGUGAAAUUCGUAGAUAUUCGGAAGAACACCAGUGGCGAAGGCGACUCACUGGCCCAAUACUGACGCUGAGGCGCGAAAGCGUGGGGAGCAAACAGGAUUAGAAACCCCUGUAGUCC